CCAGGGGGUUCAGAUCCCACCCCAGGGGGGUCUCACCCAGCCCGGGGGGCUCCCGGCAGGUCCCGGUAGGGCAGCGAGAGGGGACACAAGACCCGACCCCAAAUCCUUUCCUGAUGGGAUCAGGGCUGGAUCCUGCCCCAUGGAGGGGUCAGAUCCCACCUGAGGGGAUCAAACCCCACCUGGAGGGGAUCAAACCCCACCUGAGGGGGUUCAGAUCCCCCCCGGGGGGUCUCACCCAGCUCGGGGGGCUCCCGGCAGGUCCCGGCAGGGCAGCGAGAAGGAAACAACACCAAACCCCAAAUCCUUUCCUGAUGGGAUCGGGACCAGAUCCCACCUGGAGGGACCAGAUCCCCCCCGGGGGGUCUCACCCAGCUCGGGGGCUCCCGGCAGGUCCCGGUAGGGCAGCGAGAGGGGACACAAGACCCGACCCCAAAUCCUUUCCUGACGGGAUUGGGAUCAAACCCCACCUGGAGGGGAUCAAACCCCACCUGAGGGGAUCAAACCCCACCUGGAGGAAUCAGAUCCCACCCCAGGGGGAUCAAAUCCCACCCCAGGGGGGUCUCAGGCGGCGCGGGGGGCUCCCGGCAGGUCCUGGCAGGGCAGGGAGAGGGGACACAAGACCCGACCCCAAAUCCUUUCCUGAUGGGAUCGGGACCAGAUCCCACCUGAGGGGGUCAAACCCCACCCGAGGGGGUUCAGAUCCCCCCCG
rnacentral:lncRNA from 1 species